GCGGGGCUACCCGGUGCGUCAGGCAGCUCAUCCCCGGGGCCAGUAAGCAUCUCCCUCGGGAGCUGGCUCUGUCGGGAUCUUGGUCUCGGUAUCUGGCGCCCACCUGCACACGCAGGCUCUGGGAGGAUGACAACGCCAACGGCCAUGGUGGCUCCGCA
rnacentral:other from 1 species